UUUGGUCCGCUCAGGACGAACGCUGGCGGCGUGAACACAUGCAAGUCGAACGAUGAACCACUUCGGUGGGGAUUAGUGGCGAACGGGUGAGUAACACGUGGGCAAUCUGCCCUGCACUCUGGGACAAGCCCUGGAAGGUCUAAUACCGGAUACUGAUCCUCGCAGGCAUCUGCGAGGUUCGAAAGCUCCGGCGGUGCAGGAUGAGCCCGCGGCCUAUCAGCUAGUUGGUGGUAACGGCUCACCAAGGCGACGACGGGUAGCCGGCCUGAGAGGGCGACCGGCCACACUGGGACUGAGACGGCCCAGACUCCUACGGGAGGACAGGCGAAAGCCUGAUGCAGCGACGCCGCGUGAGGGAUGACGGCCUUCGUGUAAACCUCUUUCAGCAGGGAAGAAGCGAAAGUGACGGUAGAAGAAGCGCCGGCUAACUACGUGCCAGCAGCCGCGGUAGCAAGCGUUGUCCGGAAUUAUUGGGCGUAAAGAGCUCGUACUUGUCACGUCGGGACGCUGAGGAGCGAAAGCGUGGGAACAGGAUUAGAUACCCUGGUUUGUGAAAGCCCGGGGCUUAACCCCGGGUCUGCAGUCGAUACGGGCAGGCUAGAGUUCGGUAGGGGAGAUCGGCGGUGAAAUGCGCAGAUAUCAGGAGGAACACCGGUGGCGAAGGGGAUCUCUGGGCCGAUACUAGUCCACGCCGUAAACGGUGGGCACAGGUGUGGGCAACAUUCCACGUUGUCCGUGCCGCAGCUAACGCCACUGG
rnacentral:rRNA from 1 species